UGAACGCUGGCGGCAGGCCUAACACAUGCAAGUCGAGCGGAUGAAGGGAGCUUGCUCCUGGAUUCAGCGGCGGACGGGUGAGUAAUGCCUAGGAAUCUGCCUGGUAGUGGGGGAUAACGUCCGGAAACGGGCGCUAAUACCGCAUACGUCCUGAGGGAGAAAGUGGGGGAUCUUCGGACCUCACGCUAUCAGAUGAGCCUAGGUCGGAUUAGCUAGUUGGUGGGGUAAAGGCCUACCAAGGCGACGAUCCGUAACUGGUCUGAGAGGAUGAUCAGUCACACUGGAACUGAGACACGGUCCAGACUCCUACGGGAGGCAGCAGUGGGGAAUAUUGGACAAUGGGCGAAAGCCUGAUCCAGCCAUGCCGCGUGUGUGAAGAAGGUCUUCGGAUUGUAAAGCACUUUAAGUUGGGAGGAAGGGCAGUAAGUUAAUACCUUGCUGUUUUGACGUUACCAACAGAAUAAGCACCGGCUAACUUCAUG
rnacentral:rRNA from 1 species